rnacentral:misc_RNA from 1 species
CAACCCUUAAGCCUAGCUUAGUGUUGGGAGCCUACUGCUUUUGCUAGCUGUAGCUCCUGAAAUACAACGGCGGAUCUGCGAUAUCCUCUGAGCGUAGUAAAUUUUUAUCUCGCUUUUGACUGGAGUUGCAGCGUCUUUGGCCGCUAAAUCCCCCAAUUUUUAAUGG